ensembl:snoRNA
CCUAAUGAUGAGAACCCUUGUCCAGUUCUGCUACUGAGCUUGAGUGACGAUACUGCUUUAUCUGAAGAGG